CUUCGGAGAGGUGCGUGGAACCCCUGGCGUAGAAAUGGCUUGCGUUGUUCCUGAAUGGGAGCAAUGUGGAUUCCCUCAGAGGGCAACAUGAACAAGAUACUGGAUUGGUGGUAGUGUUUAUAACGUCCUGUCAACCAACAAAAUUCAAGAAACUCAGUGUUAAACUUUCAACAAACAAGAGCAGCACAAGGUGAAGCUAUAAAGCGUCAGUAGGUGGAACUCCUAUGUGGCCUCUCUGUCUGCCGCCGCACCUCUUUCCAUCCCCCCCAAUACAGUGCCACUGGAAUAUUCUUUUUAAAAGAGAAAUCUGGUAUGAUUCCCUUGAUUUUUCUUUUUUUAAGUUUCAAUUGAAUCCUAUUGCCUAUAAGAUCAAAGCUAGUUCUUCAGUAUGAUAUUUGGAUUUCUUCACAACAUGAUUUGAACUUCCAUUUCUCACCAUUGUCCAUCCAGCAGAAACAGCGUUCUUUAGACAUGCAAAGCUAUUUGUUACUCCCCAAAUACAUCAUACUCUUCUGUACUUUAAUGUGUUGCUUCUGUUGUUCUUCCACCUGAAAUUCCCUGUACUUCUCUCCAUUGAACAUUUACUUUUCAUUCAAGGCCUCAGUCAAAAGUCACCUUUCUGUGAAGACUUUCUUGAAUUUCCAUUAAAACUGAACCUUGUUUCUCCCUCAAAUAUCACAUUUCAUGCACUGCACUGUUUUAGAAUAAUCAGUGUGUCUGUAUUUCCUACCUGACUGUAAGUUCCCCUAGGGUUCAUAUGUCAAAAGGAAACAUCUUAUUUAUCUUUGUAUCCCCAGUGCCUGGAAUGUAAUAAAUACUCAAAAUGUGUAUUCACUGAAUGGACAAAAGAAAAGGAACUAAACAGGAAGUUCUCAUAUUGGACAAAACACCUUAGAGAAACUUUUGGACGGACAUUUGUAGCUAAAGCAUGUGGAUAGUGCUUCUCACAAGCUCGGGAAACAUCAGAUGUUACUAAAAGAUUGUUUUCGAAAUAUACGGGAAUUUUUUGGUAAAUUUUAAUUUCUUCACUUUCUAGCAGGCAGUUUUUUUGUAGUAUUUGUCAAGAUGGGGGGUCCUUUAGUGCAGAAGUACAGGGAUAUUGUUGUUUACAAUUUGGAGAAAUCCUGGUAGCACCAGGUCACUUGAUUUCUAGGCCAGGUGGAAUUCCAUUUUCCUUUUUCUCUGGAGACAGGGAUGAUGUACAAUCUGUGUGUACUCAGUACAUUCAAUAACCAAUUCCAGUCUCAUUUACACUUUUAUGCUGAGAUCAGCAUUCAGGAGAGAAACAAGAGGAAAGGAAGCAUUCCUUUCAUGAUUCCACCUCAGACUUGAGCACCACAGUUUGUUUAAAAACACAUGAUAUAUAUAUACCAGUAAGUAGACACAGAUGAUGUUUUGUAGAGGUGAUCAUUGCUAUACCAUCUGCCAGGGUCUGUAGUUGGUUUAAAAAAAAAAGAAAAGAAAGAAAUUAGUUUGGCAGGAUUUGCUCUUCACAAAAUAAUGUUGAUUUUUGCCAAUUCCAUGUAAUUUGAUAUGCCCUGCAAAAUGAAUAAGAGAAAAGUGCUUUCGCAUUGAGCUACAGGAAAAAUAUGGCCAUUGUUCUUAUGACCCUUGUUAAAAAUAAAAUUCAAGUGUGAGUUAGAUAGGGCCAUAAUAAAUAAAAGAGAAAAUAAAGGACACGAAGACAGCUAGGUAAUUAAUUUGGAAUUACCAAAAGUUGAAAAUGGUUUGUAGCCCCAAUUUAAUUGAUAUGCUAUUGCCACAUCUUAAACUAAAAAGAAGGGAAAUGAGAUCUAAAGCCUUCUGGGAUAAAAACAUGCCCAAUCCAGGACGUGGAAACCUAUCUUUUUAAAUUUAUGCUAGUAAAUUUCCACAGAGAGUGUGCAUAGUUUGUGAAAGGUAACAUUUACACAUAAAAAAAGAUUUCUUCUUAGUUUAGAGUCACAGUCUUCACAUGAUUAAUGUAUUGUGAAAUAUAGGAGAUCUAGUGGGUAUUACUCACUAACAUUAUUUCACUCACUACCAUGACUGUCUACUACGUUGAUUUCACAAUGGUUUUGGAAGAGGCUAAUUAAACUUUUUAAAAUAUAAAUAAUGGGCAUAACAUUGAUUUGUUAUCCAUUUUACUCUUACUGAACAAAAUGAUGACUGAGUGAUUUCAAAUUCACAGACAUUCUAAAUAAAUGUUGAAUGAAUGGAUUUUAGUGAAAGUUGAUUUGUGUGUAGAGCUUCCAGUUUUUGCUGUGAGUGGAGAACACGGAGAAUCACAAGUGCCCCAAUGUCAUGUUAACAUAAUUUUGUUUUUUUAAAUACCUUUUAAUAAAUUACAUUUCCUGCUCCUUAAAAAUCAAGUUCUUUACAUUAAAAUGAUAAAAAAUUAUUAUUGUUUAACAAACGUAUUCUUUCAACUAACUUAGAGCACUUACUAUGAAACGUAUUCUUUCAACUAACUUAGAGCACUUACUAUGUACAAGA